CUCAUGGUGAUCCAGAUUCUUCUGCCGACAGCAAGAUUGAAAACUUUAGCAUUGGUACAAUGACUCUGAGUGAUUUUUCUUGACCAACUGUGAUUUGCCCAGAAAAUACAGGAACCAAAUUUGAAGAAAAAAGAAAAAAUAAAUACAAAGAGAGCGAUGGGAGAGGGGAAAUUAUACAGAGGUGAAACGAGAGAAACAAAAGGAAGGGGAUGGAGACACUGGUAACAAAAAAAAAAGGUGCAAAGAUGGGGAGAAAAGGGAAAUGGGAGGGAGAGGCGGAGGGACAAAAAUGGGGAAAAAGGGAAAGGGGCAGAAAACAAAAUUUUGAAAUAUCCAUUAAAACCCAUGAAGGUUUAAGCACAAAAUCUAAAAUAAAAUUGAUAAGAGAUUGAUUAAUAAUUGAAGAGCAA
rnacentral:lncRNA from 1 species